ACCCCGGUUUUUUUAAAAACCCCCGGGUUUAAAAAAAACCGUUUUUU
rfam:Angomonas deanei Cont9593, whole genome shotgun sequence.